UACGUAGGGUGCGAGCGUUGUCCGGAACUACUGGGCGUAAAGAGCUCGUAGGUGGUUUGUCGCGUCGUCUGUGAAAUUCCGGGGCUUAACCUCGGGCGUGCAGGCGAUACGGGCAAUACUUGAGUGCUGUAGGGGAGACUGGAAUUCCUGGUGUAGCGGUGAAAUGCGCAGAUAUCAGGAGGAACACCGAUGGCGAAGGCAGGUCUCUGGGCAGUAACUGACGCUGAGGAGCGAAAGCAUGGGUGGCGACAGGAUUAGA
rnacentral:rRNA from 1 species